rnacentral:rRNA from 1 species
UUGACCUCAAAUCAGGUAGGACUACCCGCYGAACUUAAGCAUAUCAAUAAGCGGAGGAAAAGAAACUAACAAGGAUUCCCCUAGUAACUGCGAGUGAAGCGGGAAAAGCUCAAAUUUAAAAUCUGGCGGUCUUUGGCYGUCCGAGUUGUAAUUUAGAGAAGUGUUAUCCGCGCUGGACCGUGUACAAGUCUCCUGGAACGGAGCGUCAUAGAGGGUGAGAAUCCCGUCUUUGACACGGACCACCAGUGCUUUGUGAUGCGCUCUCGAAGAGUCGAGUUGUUUGGGAAUGCAGCUCAAAAUGGGUGGUAAAUUCCAUCUAAAGCUAAAUAUUGGCGAGAGACCGAUAGCGAACAAGUACCGUGAGGGAAAGAUGAAAAGAACUUUGGAAAGAGAGUUAAACAGUACGUGAAAUUGUUGAAAGGGAAACGCUUGAAGUCAGUCGCGUUGUCCGGGGAUCAACCUUGCAUUCGUGCUUGGCGUACUUCCCGGUCGACGGGUCAGCAUCAAUUUUGACCGCUGGAUAAAGGUCAGGGGRAUGUGGCAUCCUCGGAUGUGUUAUAACCUCUGGCUGCAUACAGCGGUUGGGAUUGAGGAACUCAGCACGCCGCAAGGCCGGGUUUUUAACCACGUACGUGCUUAGGAUGCUGGCAUAAUGGCUUUAAUCGACCCGUC